AGAGAUCCGUAUGGGCUUAUAGUUUAAUUGGUUGAAACGUACCGCUCACAACGGUGAUAUUGUAGGUUCGAGCCCUACUAAGCCUAC
rnacentral:tRNA from 1 species